GGGGCCACAGCUGUGCCCAGGUCUCAUGAGGAGGUGUGGGCCUGAUGGGCUAAUUGGUACAAUCCCAGGGAUUGUCCCCCUACCCCAGCCCACAUGCAUCAGGAGUGACUAGUAAUAACUCUCUUUGAAAUGUUGCUGCCACCCAUUAAUCCACAUGAACAGCGUAACAGAUAAACAAACCAAUUCCACUUUUAUCCCAAAUCCUCUGGGAACCAAGUACAGGGUCCAAAGUAAAUAAGAUUAUAGAAGAAACUGGUGGGUCAAAUGUGGGAAAUUGUGACUCACCAUCCCCGCUCCCAUUCCCAGCUCUCCCAGAACCAUUUGUUCCCUCUAUUUGGCCCAAGCUGGGCUCCCUUGCACUUGACCAGGCUGUCCACGUGGUCUCUAUAAGCAUUAACCACUGCUCUUGGUUGCCAACUGUCCCAAGGACUGUUUCUCCUUUUCACAAACAGAGUCUUCAGCAUUAAGGCUUCUUUUCAGAGAAACAAAACCAGUCCCUGCUUAUCAAAGUCAUAAUGGUCAAUCAUUCUGUCCACUCAUUCAUUCAUUCACUCAUUCAUUCAUUCAUUCAUUCUUACUACACAUCUUUACUGAGCUCUACUGUGUAUUGGACCACAUGCUAGACGUUGGGGAUACAGCAGUGAAUAAAAUAGUCAGAAUCUCUGUCCUUGCAGUAUUUGCCUCCAGAUGGGAGGCAUAGAUGUUAGACAAUCUACAUGGUUACUUAUUUAAUAAAAGCGUGAUACAUGCCACAAAGGAAAUGGGCCUGACAUGUAUCUAGGCCUAUGCUGCACACUCUGGGUGAUUAUAAAAGAAGUAGAUAAGGUAUUAUCUACUUCAAAGAGUCAAAUUCUAGGUGGAGAGCCAACUCAGAACUCCUGCAAGGGGAAGGAGAAGGUUGGAGAAAACUCUCACUCUAAAUAAAGUUCUUGAGAAUAUCCUCAUAGGCUCCUGAUGACUGGAAAAGAAGAAACAUGGGUAAGGGGCCAAGAUGUUGGGGUGAGAUGCUAGGCUAGUGCAAACAGGCCAAAUAAGAGAGCAAACUAAACGUAGAUACUGCAGCAGCAGAGGGAUGCAGGUAUCACUACCGGCUGGGUAAAGAGGAUUAGAAGGAAGGCAGGAUUUCUUAGAAUCAGAAGAAGGGGAAUACAGGCUUCACAGCAAAAUGGGUUCAUUCACUCAUUCAUUCAGUCACCAUCCAUCAGUCAAGGUCAGGUCCUGUGCUGGGCACUAGAGAUACUAACCAAAAAAUUUAAUUGGGAAAAUAGACAUACAACAAAACGUGUCAUUGCUAUAAAAACAUGUGCAUGAGGUUUAGCAAUAAUGACUACUAAGGUUAUCUCUAUGGUACUGUCACCCUCACUAAUUUGGGAGAGGAAGGGAUGGCGUCACAGCCGGUAAUCAGAAACUGCUUCUCCAAAGCCUAUGCUAUGUGCACAGCAGCCAGGAGUGGGCAGAUUGCUAACACACCAGUGGUCAUGCCAAUUUCAAAUCAUCGUAUUGCAUUGAGAUGAAACGGUUAUUUUUACCAUUGGCUUUCAUUUCCUGCAAAAAUCCUUCCCGGGUUUAGAUAAAAUUGGGUUUAACCUUUGAGAGUGUGUGUGAAUAUGGAUGUCAUCCAUCAAGUGUGGUGGGCGGAGAAAAGAUUGAGAAUGGCUGCUGCACAGGUUUGAGGAUGAGUCACGUAGCUUAGACCAGAAGGUGAGCUGAGUGGGAGGCUCAGCGGGAGGGAGCUGCAAGAAUGAAUCCGGGUUUUGCCGCUUGGAGGCAACAAUGAUGUCAGGAGACCUCGCCAGUGUGGCAGGAAUCCAGGUGCCCAGAUCUAAUCAGAUCUGGAACUUGGAGGAGGAGAGGCUAGCCCACAUGCCGAUUAGCCCUGAGCUAACAUCUGCUGCCAAUCCUCCUCUUUUUUGCUGUGGAAGCCUGGCCUUGAGCUAACAUCCGCGCCCAUCUUCCUCUACUUUAUAUGUGGGAUGCCUACCACAGCAUGGCAUGCCAAGCAGUGCCAUGUCCACACCCGGGAUCGGAACCAGCGAACCCCAGCCGCCAAGAAGCAGAACGUGGGCGAUUGACUGCUGCGCCACCGGGCCGGCCCCUGCUUAAUAUUUUAAAAGGUAUUUAUUAAAAGUAAUAUAAAGAAAAUAUUCUAAAAUGAAAAUGCCAGUUUGAGCUAUAUUCAGAAGAAUUAAAGAAAGUUUUGUUCACAUUCCCAGGAGAGUCGUGAAAAACAGCAGCUCAACCCCAGUUAGGACUUGGGGGCAGGGGAAGGCAGGCUGCUAGUGUCUAAGUCAGAAAACUCCCAGGUUGCUGGGGGUUAGGAUGGGGAGAGUUAGGAUCAUUGGCCAGCUCUCUACCCCAUCACCAGAAUUCUCCUUCCAGAAUACCCUCUGCUAGACAGACCUCCCUGAGGUUCCAAGGUGGUUUAUUUCCAUGAGUAAAGUCAUUUCUGUUACAGAUGGAUGAUGGUGGCCAGAGAGACACUAAGGAGAAUGUCCAGCUCUAGGCCUCAGACGCCCUGCAGAGUCAGAGGGAAGCCAGGAAAGGCUGGUGAACUAGCAGGAAAUGACACUCAAACGUGGGAUGUCUCUUCCCUCCAUCUCUGUAAAGUCCAUACCUUUGAGAACAAGCCACACUCCACCUCACCUGUGAAAUUUUCCCUGACUCUUUUGGCCGCCAUGGACCUCUUCCUCCCGCAGUUCUCUUUAAUAAUUAAGAGAGUGAAUCUCUGCACGCCACCGUGGCCUUUAGACUCCUGCAAGCAAGGCCCCUGCCCCGACCCCACGACUCAGGAGAUCUCUGCUUUGAAGUGCCUUCCUCAGAAUUUUCCAUCUCCUCUGGUGCCAGGACUGGCUGGGCCCAGCAGUGCUGCCCGGUGGGCCACCCCAAGUCUAUAUCAAGAUCCAUGUGGACCAGAGUCCCUAUUUCCUCCCUUCAGAAGAAGAAAGCACAGGAUUCUUCUAAAACUUAUCCUGGAGUAUGGAAGAUCUUUCUGGGUACUUCCCCAAACUCAUAAUCCAUAAAAGAAAAGAUCAAAAUUUUAACAAUAUGAAACGGGAAUUCUGCACUGCAAAAACCACCAUAAGCAAAAGAGAAACAACAAAAGAUCAAACGAGGAAAAAAUCGAAACUCUUAUUAGCGACAAAGACUUAAUUUCUCUGAUUCAGAAGAAAAUCCUAGAAAUUAAUG
ensembl:lncRNA